UUUCUCAUUGUUUUAUCGCUGCUACAGGAGGAUCUCCCCCUUCCUCCAGCUGGGCUUGCCACGGUAGAGAUGCUGGCGGCACUACCACAAGCCAUCCCCGCCGCCGCCUUCCAGCAGAUCAUCCUGUGGGACCGCACCAACCUCAGGGCGGUCCUUCCUCCGCCGUCCCUCCCAGGUCUCCUCCUGCUCCCGUACAUGGACUACGUCCCCGCCGCCCCACGCCCCGCUCCCGCUGACUUGGCUGCCCCCACCCAUCCGCUCGUGCUCUGGGGCCUCGUCGCGGGGUUGGAUCUGCGCUCCCUGCCGCGUCUCGCUCCGCCGCCGCCCUCCGCUCCCAUCUGCUCACCUCAUCUGGCGCCCGGCGCAGCCACAGCACACUGUCGGCUUCUCGUCGGUAGUUGUUGAAAUUUCAGUUUUGAUCAUGACUACUGGAGUGCUUGCUGGGUUGAUUGCCUGUGAUGGACAGAGUGUACAUAUGAAGGUCCAAGCUCCAAGGCAUACUACUCCUUAAAAAUAGUUUUCAUCCUCAGAUGGUAGGGCUAGACCUAGUGCUGGUCAAUCCAUCCCGGAUGUCUUUUUCUUUGUUGUAGGUUUGAGUUAGUUCCCAGAUGGUAGGGUCUGACCUUGUGCUGGCCAAUCCAUAUACUGGAUGUUUCUGUCGAGAAAUUGGCUUAGGUCUAAUAAAAAAAGUUUGGGUAUGAGCAAUUCCUUUUCUCACUUGGAGAAUUUCUCAUUUGAUCAUCUCAUUCUGUACUUUAACGUCAGGCCAAUCAAUGUUUUGUUGACAUUACUGCAAUUGGCACUAGGCACUUUAUAGCAAAUAAGGAUCUGAUGAAGGUGAAUUGUUGGCAAACGGUUAAGUGAAAAAUCCAUCAUCAGGGCACAAUUUAGAUGAGGCAAAGUCGAGAAGUUGAUCACUUGUUUCAGGGGAUAGCAUCUGCCAUGAGGUUGUGCACCUGAUCAAUGUCUCAAUAAAUUUGUGAAUAUAUUGUGGGCAUUUCCUGAAUUUCAAGGAAUUAUGGCACAAGACUUAUCUUCAAUGGGCAAAGGGGUAUGCUAUGCUGCCAAUCAAUGUUCCUGGUGAAAAAUCAGAACAACGCCCGACGCUUCGGUAGCUUCGCCUGAUCCUGCCCCUCCACAUCCGCCAUCGCCAAACAUAGCGUUGAUCGAAGGCUGUCAUCUCUACUGCUGCUGUGGAGGAACCAUUCAAACUUAAAGGCAAAUUGGGCCAUUGGGGUGGGAGUUUUACAUUGUGGCUGGAAAUAUAGAAAAUAAACCCAUACACCAAGACGGUAAAUACUUUAAUUACUGAAGAAGAGAUGUUUAAUUAGUCAUUGCAGUUUUAUGUCCUUAUUUCUCUUGCAAAUAACUGUGUAGAGAAAGAUUACAGUAUUGAUCUGUGAUUUGUUUAGAGUAGAAGUGAAAAGGGCAAGCCUUUAUUGUAUAAAGAGUAAAAUGCAUUGGGGGUCCUUAAACUAGUUGACAUGUUCUGUUUAGGUCCAUAAACUUCGAAAAUGCAUUUUUAGGUCCAUGAUCUAUUCAAGUGUGUCACUUGAGGUCCAAAACGCCUCUGACCAGUGCUGACUGCCUACGUGGACCGCCACGUCUGAUCCAACGUGGCCGUUGGCCGCCCCGCAUGCUCCGCUGGUUCGCCCUCAUCUCCCCUUCAUGCUCUGACUCGCCGGCCGUAUCCGCACGCGGCGGGGUGGGCGGGCGGCGCGAUGAGCGGCCGGCGCGGCGCUGCGGGCGGCCAGGGCGGGGGAAGCCUGCGCGGAGGCGGAGGAGCCACACGGUGCGGCGCGGCGCGGCGCGGAGGCGGCAGAGCAGGGGCGGCCGGAGGAGCGCGCGACGACGGUGGAGGGCUCGAGCUCCGCCGCUCCCUCUCCUUUGUGCGCCGGCGAGGGCUCGAGCUCCGGGUGUCCCGCGCCAUGGCUGAGCUCGCCCGAGCCGGCCGACAUCUCCCACGCCCCAGCAAAGGUGGCCACGCCGGGAGAGCACAGGUGGUCGCGGAGGAGCAGGGGCCCCCGAUGGCGGGCCUUGCGAAGGCGGAGGAGCAGGGCCCCACCCCCGACGGUGCCAUCCCCUGCUCCCUCCGCCGCGCGCGCCGCAGGCCCGCACCGCCCGCAUCGUCGGGGCAGUGAGCGAGCUCUAGCCCCGGCGUGGAGUCCUCGUCGGGCGGCAGCUUCCUUCCCCUUUUCCCUCUCCCUCGUGCGUGGCCGUGGCGUCACGCCGAGCGGCAGCGGCGAGCUGCUGUGCGCAGGGCCACGGCGGCGAGCUGCUGUGUGCGGUGGCCAUGGCGGCGACGGCCGGAUCCGUGCAGGGCCAUGGCGGUGGUGGCCGGCUCCUGCAUCGCCGGUGAGGCACACGCAGUGGCCAACGGCCACGUUGGAUCGGACGUGGUGGUCCACGUAGGCGGUCAACGCUGGUCAGAGGCGUUUUGGACCUCAAGUGACACACUUGAAUAGAUCGUGGACCUAAAAAUGCAUUUUCGAAAUUCAUGGACCUAAACAGAACAGCUCAACUAGUUUAAGGACCCCCAGUGCAUUUUACUCUUGUAUAAAUAAGAACAAUUGUCUACUGAUGAAUUUUAGCCAAACUAAACUAUACUAUUUUCUGGCUGAGAAAUGGUUAAUUUGUCAUUGCAACAAAACCAUAUCAUCUGAUGAAUUGAAUAUUGUGAAAAAAAUUGUAGGUCUAAAUUGUAGCAGAGGUUGAAUCUGUUGAAUUGAAUUUUUCCAUGCAUUACCAAUUUCUGAAUUGGAUUAUAUGUCUUUGCACUCUUCUAAAUUCAGUUCUGAUAAUUAAGGUUCUCGAUCAAAUGCAUUACUAAUCUUUCUACCAGUCCUUUCAUGUUGCCUGCAGUUAGUAAUUACUCAUCCCAGGUUAAAGUAGUCGAAUCCUGUGAUAAUUAUUAAUAGAGUUUCGAAUAUAGAAUUAAAUUCUCACCUCAACACAAUGAUACAAUAACUAAUGUAUUUUCCAUGGCCAUGUAUGACGACCGUGUUAGAUCUCAUUUAAUUGGCAAAAAUAGGAUGAUCACAAGCUGUCUAUACAUGGUUAGAUUGGUUCAAUGGGGAUUAGAUAAAUUUCUCAUGAUGAAAGAAUCUACUUUCUGAAACAAUUUUUUCUCUGAACAUCUGUAGCAAUUGUGCUCUGGCUUGUCUGAUAAAAAAAAAUCUACAACCUGUUUUAUGGAAAAAAAGCUCAGAUUGUUGGAGGAAAAAAAACAAAGAAGGAUGGUUCGUUUCUGCAAUGUUUUUUUUUCUCGAACACAUCUAGAACAUGUACUUUCUUCCCAUUGGAUGAACAUCAUUAGUUGGGGAGAUUAGUUCUUGUUAUUAGUUGGAUCUACUAGAAACCGCUUUGUCAUGCCUUUUUUUGUUUUUGGUCUGGUGUUUGCUCCAUAUUUCAUAUUAUUUUGUCGGUGAACAUACAAGGGUAGGAUAUAGGUCUGUGGGGUGUGUUUGGUUGAGCUAUGGCUUUUGUAAAAGCAGCUGUAGGCUGUGACUUUCUGAAAAGUAGAUUAGGAAAAGUAGCUGUGAGGAAGCCAAAAGCCUCUUUGGUUCGUGAGCUGUGGCUUCUCAAACACUAGUCUCAUUGAUGUGCGUGACCCACUUGUCAGCCAUUCCUCUUCCUCCCUAGGAUGUACAGCGCACACGGGAGGAGUCUCGCCAGAGAGGGGUGGAGCUGCGCCGGAGCCAUGGCCGCGCCGCGCCGGAGCCGUGGAAGGAGCAGAGGCGGGCAGGGUUGCCAGGGAGGGACGUGGAGGGCCGAGAGCCGUGCCGGGGAUGGACAAUCUUUAAAAACCAAAACGUGAGUUCAAGCGCGGGCCAGGGAUUGGGCCACGUCGCCUACAAAGCCAGGCCGUGGGAUUAUGCAUCAACGGUUAAGGACGUAGGCACGGGUAGGCUCACGGCCCUCUUCUCGACGCUUCGCGAUCCGUUGGCAGCCGUCGCCGCCAGGCGCUGCUCCAUCCGCGAAACCUCGCCGAUUUCCCUUCCUGCACAGUUGCACGCCUCGAUGGCUCGAUAUGCUACAGCCAGUGGUUCUCAGAAGGUGAGGCCGUGACAAAGAGCACUCUGUGCCCCCGCGCCCCCGCCGCGGCAGCGGCACCGCCCACCUUCGGGCGGUCUGCCCAGCUCCAGCAAGCCAACCAUGCGGCAGCUUCCAUCCAGCAGACCCCAAGCUGGGCACCGGUUCAACAACGUUAAAUUAGCUGGUAUCUGCUGGAUUGGACUAGAGCUUUCAGGGCGCAGUUUGAGCUUCUGGAUUUAAUGCAUAGGUACGCUACUGUAUAUCCCAAGUCUGUUCCCUACAAGCUGGGCACCGGUUCACUUGGGAAUUUGGGAUACGAAUAAGCUCCACUCAGAUAUAGAAGGUGAGUUUGUUCUCCUGUUGAUGAUUACAGAUGGGGAUGCUCGCUUGCUAUGCCAAAUUAUCAGAUAUCUUGAUCAUCAGUUAUCAGUGAAGUGUUCUGAAAUAUUCAGUUUGGGUGAGUGCAAAUGAUUUUAACUGCAUCACCUAAAGGAUCGUAGCAAAUUAUAUGCCACAGUCCCCAGGCUAUAGGAGCAAUUUAAGCAUAGAGAGUGGACUGUCAUUUUCUAAUGGAUGAAAUUCACCGACCUCUGUUCGUAGAUAAAAUGAACUGAUCCUGCCCUUUCCUCACACCUAAAACGACCUGAACUGGAGGCAAGCGGCAAGCCAAUGCCCUACCAACAUGACAUUCAUUUUUCAGACAAGAAAAGUCCAUCAUAGAGAUGAAGUGGCACACCUCUCCAAUAAUAUUUGUGCUAUUGGCAUUGUUUCUCAACUUGGACAUUAAAGUCGACGUGGUUGUAUGCUACAACCAGGACUCCAGUUCACUUGGAUGCGAAGCUCUAUGCGAUGAUCAAGGGCCAGCUUAGCUUAUGCAAAUGACCAUGAGGUUCCACCUACUUUCACGCAAGAACUCCACUAUCUGAACAAGGAGGACAGGCUGCUUCGCUGGCUGGUUGGGAAGCAUGGAGACAUGGUAUACGGUCUGGAGUUCAUCAACGAGGAUGAUGGAAGGAACAAGAUGAGCGGGAUAUCGAAAUCGGCCCCGAUGAACCCGAAUUUGAGUUCCUCUGAUGGCUACAAGUUGUUCGAGGGGGAGGAAGAGAAGUAGAAUUGCCUGUCCAGGCUUCUGCAGUUUCAGUCUGUAUUGGCAUCUCUCAACCGUCGUGGCUGCCGCGCGGUUUUCUAUUGCUUGCGGUUUGCAUCAACAACUUGGAAUGGUUUUAGUAAGAUAGAUUGGUGAUAUUACCCUUAUUGUGAAGUCUAAUGGUGAUUUUGCUCUCAGUUUUUAAACUUUGCGAUUUUGCCCCUCCUA